UUAGAAGAAAAAGAGAUCAUUCAGUGAGGAGCCUAAGUUGAUGAAGCUUCUAUCAUCUGGAAUGCUGCUGGUUGCCUUGACAGUGGCAGGGAACAAUAGCAAACCGAAUUUCCUUUUAAAUAUUCCGUCUUGAAGAGACACCUGUCACUUCUCCUCACAUUUCAUUAACCAAAAUCUAAAAAGUCCCAUUCGUCUUCAUUGUGGAACCCUUUUAAUUACAUUGGGACCACCAGAAUAAUCCAGGAUAAACUCCCUUUCUCAAGGUAAAUUGAUCAGCAACCUUAAUUAUACCUUCAAUCUGAAUUCUCCUUUACAAUAAAGCCUAACAUAUUCUGGGAAUUAAGAUAUGGACAUCUUUGGAAGACCAUAUUCUAGCUAUUACAGUUCUAGCUGACCAAAAGUUAUAUUGCAAAUAUUCUGGAAGAUGGAAGCAAAGCACAACCAUUACCCUCUAAUGGUCAUCAUCAGUCAGGCUGUGGGAGACAGAUGCAGCUCUGCAUGUUUCUGUAUUUCUGAUUGAAUCCCAACUGAUACAGUUAUUGGAACCAGAACUCAGUUGCUUCUGCAAUAAAAAGCUGCAGGAAAGAAGGUUCAAAAAGGAAGAAAGUCUCAGAGUGCAGAGCCGCCUGGCUGGAGAGUGGAGUUGAGAACCACAGGGAACCACUCCCAGGGAGCACAGCUGGGCCCUAAUCAAGGAACUGGAAUUGUUGCACUGGCUGGAUCAGAACUGCUAUGAACUACCAUCUUGCUGCAAGGAAGCCCGAUGUCUACAUGGACAGGCUGAGUGGAAAGACAGAGGUGACGACAGAAACCCAGCUGGGCCGGGCUCCCAGCCCACGUGCCAGUGUCUGCUGCACCAAUAUGGAGAACAACCAAGGAAUUCAACUGACAGGGACAACCAAGGACUCCUGCAAACCCUCAUCCCAGUCAGCUCCAGCUGUUUGCAUCACCCCAGCUGAGGUGCCAGCAUCAUGUGGAAUAGAUGACCUAUAUUUGCAGUGCCCUGUCUGAAUUUAUGACCCACCAAAUCAGGAAUACAAUAAAAUGGUUGUUGCUUUAUUCCACCAAGUUUUGGGAUGGAAUCAACACGUAGCUGAAACAAUAUG
rnacentral:lncRNA from 1 species